rnacentral:rRNA from 1 species
UACAGAGGGUGCGAGCGUUAAUCGGAAUUAUUGGGCGUAAAGGGCGCGUAGGCGGCAAGGCAAGUCGGGUGUGAAAGCUUGGGGCUUAACCCCGAAAGGGCACUCGAAACUGCGUUGCUAGAGGGCCGGAGAGGAGAUCGGAAUUCACGGUGUAGCAGUGAAAUGCGUAGAGCUCGUGAGGAAGACCGGUGGCGAAGGCGGAUCUCUGGACGGCCCCUGACGCUGAGGCGCGAAGGCUAGGGGAGCAAACGGG